UACGUAGGGGGCAAGCGUUGUCCGGAUUUAUUGGGCGUAAAGAGCGUGUAGGCGGCCAGGUAGGUCUGCUGUGAAAACUCGAGGCUUAACCUCGAGAUGUCGGCGGAAACCAUCUGGCUAGAGUCCGGAAGAGGAGAAUGGAAUUCCCGGUGUAGCGGUGAAAUGCGCAGAUAUCGGGAAGAACACCCGUGGCGAAGGCGGCUCACUG
rnacentral:rRNA from 1 species